AUGUGGGCUAAUGGGAGCAGACGGAUGCAGUACAGGUUCUUUGGCGACGUGGUCACAUUCGACACCACAUACAGGACAAAUUUGUACGACAUGCCAUUAUGUUUAUUUGUCGGAGUUAACAAUCACUACCAGAGUAUCAUCCUAGCUGGCGUGCUGAUGUGUGACGAGCAAGAAGAGAGCUUUGAAUGGGUGUUUUCAGAAUUCAUUCGCAUGAUGGGCGGACCUGCACCUAAAACAAUACUAACAGACCAAUGCAGGGCUAUGGAGGUUGCAAUCAAGAAAAUUCAUCCGAACACUGUCCACCGUUUGUGCAAGUGGCAUGUUCUGAAAAAGGCGAAAGAAACACUGGGGUGGCUUUACACAAAAAAAUGUGAUUUUCAAGCUGAAUUUCACAAAGUUGUUAACCACAUGCUAACUGAGGAAGAAUUUGAAUCAGCCUGGGAUGCGCUGCUUGAUAAAUACAAUUUGAGGGGGCAUAACUAUAUGACCCAAAUAUAUGAGACAAGACAUAAAUGGGCGAAACCAUAUUUCAGAGGUGUGUUUUGUGCGAAAAUGACGAGUACACAGAGGAGUGAGAGUGCAAACCACAUGCUGAAGACGGACAUGCCCCCUGCAAGCCCAAUGCAUGUUUUCGUCUGA
rnacentral:rRNA from 1 species